GAACAGUGAUGAGUCUAUCCCGAACCUGAUCUGUGAUGACAGGCAAAAUACGGAUCUGACUACUGAGUU